rnacentral:snRNA from 1 species
UAUUAGAAACAAAAUCAUU